rnacentral:rRNA from 1 species
CCUACGGGAGGCAGCAGUGAGGAAUAUUGGUCAAUGGGCGCGAGCCUGAACCAGCGAAGUAGCGUGAAGGAUGACGGCCCUACGGGUUGUAAACUUCUUUUAUAAAGGAAUAAAGUGAGGCACGUGUGCCUUUUUGUAUGUACUUUAUGAAUAAGGAUAGGCUCACUCCGUGCCAGCAGCCGCGGUAAUACGGAGGAUCCGAGCGUUAUCCGGCUUUAGUGGGUUUAAAGGGAGCGUAGAUGGGUUGUUAAGUCAGUUGUGAAAGUUUGCGGCUCAACCGUAAAAUUGCAAUUGAUACUGGCAGCCUUGAGUACAGUUGAGGUAGGCGGAAUUCUUGGUGUAGCGGUGAAAUGCUUAGCUAUCACGAAGAACUCCGAUUGCGAAGGCAGCUUACUAAACUGCCACUGACAUUGAUGCUCGAAAGUGUGGGUAUCAAACAGGAUUAGAUACCCCAGUAGUC